UUAGAACGAACGCUGGCGGCGCGUCUUAAGCAUGCAAGGUCGAACGGCAAGGAUGGUAGCUUGCUACUAGUCCCUGGGAGUGGCGGACUGGUGAGUAACGACGUGGGUCGACCUACCCUGAGAUGGGGAUAGCCAUUAGAAAUAGUGGAUAAUACCGAAUACGCUCUACAGACUCUGGUUUGAGAGGAAACAGGCUACGGCCUGGCUCGAGGAUGGGCCCGCGUCCCAUUAGCUAGUUGGUGAGGUAAGAGCCCACCAAGGCGACGAUGGGUAUCCGGCCUGAGAGGGUGUACGGACACAUUGGGACUGGGAUACGGCCCAAACUCCUACGGGAGGCAGCAGCUAAGAAUAUUCCGCAAUGGACGAAAGUCUGACGGAGCGACGCCGCGUGGAUGACGAAGGCCGAAAGGUUGUAAAAUCCUUUUGCUGAUGAAGAAUAAGCGUGGUAGGGAAUGACCGCGUGAUGACAUUAGUCGGUGAAUAAGCCCCGGCUAACUACGUGCCAGCAGCGGC
rnacentral:rRNA from 1 species